rnacentral:lncRNA from 1 species
GUUCCCCAGAGAGGCAGGCGGGCAGGAGCUGCAGGGGCGGUGGGUGCCAGGCUGGACAAAGGCCCAGGAGGCUGGGGAGCAGGGGGCAUGGCUCGCUGCGGGCCCCUGGGGACAUCUGAUCCAGGCUGGGGCUGUGUCUGCAUCUGGGUGACCUCAGGGCCAAGUGGCUGUCCGUGAGAAUUCCCAGGUGGCUAGACGACAAGGGGCCCCAGCGCUUCCCUGGAGGGCUGGCCUGCGCCAUCGUUGGGGGCUCCCCCAGCCACUUGCCCUUCUCCUUCAGGAAUCUCAGGGCUUCCAGGGAUCCCUAACACAGCUCCUCCAGGUCCUGCAGAGCAUUUUGAAGCCCGAUGCCUCCAUAGGGACAUUUGGAGACAGAAAAGCAGGAGUGGAAGAGAAAGCCGAGCGCAGCGGAGGGAUGCUACAUAAAGGCAACGGUGACCAUGGACAGAGGGCUCCCUCCCGUGCCAGGCACGAUCUGUCACCCGGAGCUUCUCACCUAGUUUUGCAAUAACCACAUGGGGUGUGGUGUCACGUCCACUUCACAGCUUUUAAAAUAGAGCGGGGAGAAAGCAAACCAGUGGAGGACAACGACGUUGAGAACGGCCUGCGGAUGGCGGCUGGGCAGCGCCGGGUCUGAAGAAUCGCUGAGAGAGGAGACGUGGCAGCAGGUCAGGUUCUCUGAGCGGCUCUCCAAGGAGGUACCACCGUCUCCUCAGUUCAUCUGUGCUCUCCGGCAAGUCCAAAGUCACCCUCAGAACACCGAGGCUGGACACAACUCCCCCGUGCGCCUGCGGGGCCACACCUUCUCAAGUCCCAUGAGCCCGAGCAGGAGGGGAUACUGUCUGCUUUGUCCUUUUUGUUGCAAUACAAUCUCACAGUCUCAGGGAAGAUGCAAGAAUUGUGCAAAAAAAGAACUCUCAUGUCCCCUUCCCCAGAUUCUCCCAUCAAUAACAUUUGCUUUCUCUCUCUCUCUAAACACAGAUAAAUAAAGAUGCAAGAUAGAAAGAGAGAGAGAGAGGUUUUUUCCCCUGCGCCGUCAUAGAUUAGGUCGCAGAAACCACACCUCUUCACUAAAUAUCUUUGCUUGAUAUCUCAGAGUAUUUCCUAAGAACAAGGACUUUGUCUUAUGUAAUCACAGCACAAUUUUCAAUAUCUGGAAAUGUAACGUGAACAUGGGACUACUACGGAACUCCCAGUUCACACUUACAUUUUGCCAAUUGUCCCCCCAGGCCGGGCUCAAAUCCAGGACCACGUUUUGCACUUACCUGCCAUGUCACUUUAGUCUCCUUUCACCUGCCUUUCUUUGUCUUUCAUGAUUCUAAGUUUUUUGGUAAGAGAACAGGCAGGUUAUUCAGAAUGUCCCAUAAUCUGCAUUUAUUUUACG